AGUAUUUCUUUUUGAAAGAUCUUUUAGAAAUGACAAAUCAUAAUUAUAUCAAAAUUUAAAAUUGAAAAAUAAAUUCACUAUUCCAUCAUGGCAUUUCUACAACUGCUGCAGACCUCAAUGAAAUUGUUAGCAAAAAAUAGACAAAGAGCUAAUUUGAUGAGAGGAUUCAGAUUUGUCUCGAGUAAGUUCACUCGAGAUAGCAACGAUCCUUGCGCUUGUCCUUGUUGUCCUCAGCCUUGCAUCCCUUGCGAACAACCGGAUCCUUGUGACCCGUACAAGAAACCGCGCAAGGGAGAUCCUUGCGAGCAGAAGAAGAGAAAGCAGUGCAAAAGGAGACAUCCCGCUAGUCCAGAUCCAAUACCUCCCCCUCCUAUACAGGGAGUUCCUUGCAAACCGGGGCGAGAGGACUGUUCUGAUUGUUGAUUAUGCAAUAAAAAGGGAAUAAUUAGGGUCUUGGGUCAAAGAAACAAAUCAAAGAAGACUUGUAGAGAAGAAUGUGGUGGCAUCUGCAGGAAGCGUCCCAAAGACGACUCACU